rnacentral:rRNA from 1 species
UACAGAGGGUGCAAGCGUUAAUCGGAAUUACUGGGCGUAAAGCGCGCGUAGGUGGUUUGUUAAGUUGGAUGUGAAAUCCCCGGGCUCAACCUGGGAACUGCAUUCAAAACUGACUGACUAGAGUAUGGUAGAGGGUGGUGGAAUUUCCUGUGUAGCGGUGAAAAUGCGUAGAUAUAGGAAGGAACACCAGUGGCGAAGGCGACCACCUGGACUGAUACUGACACUGAGGUGCGAAAGCGUGGGGAGCAAACGGG